CGUCCGAGUAGUUUUCCAACAACGUGCUGUGUCAGCGUAGAUUUCAACUUUUUGUUGGAGGAUUUUUGGUGAAGAAAGAGCAAGAUUUAUAUCAAGAAAGGAAGCUUUUUUACAGGUCAAAUUGGAGGAAAUUACGGGACCACAUUCCAUCAUGCUACUAAACGUGUGCAGUCAUUUUCAUCACCUUCGAAUCUCUAUUUGAGCUUUCAUAAACCCAGUUUGGGUAAAAAUUAUCUCCUUUGCGGGAUCAAUGAACCCAGUUUGGACGGCGUACAUGAAAUCGAAAGUCGUGCAAUUCGUACUUCGCACAGUGUUGACGAGAACGAAAUAAGCUUAGAUACUUGUGCUGAAUACACAACUUUGGAAGCUAUAGUAACAUUUAAGACCCAUAAUGAAUUGGAACAUAAAAGUUUUUCUACGGAUCCCUGUGAUUUGUUAUCAUAUAGAAGUUCUGUUCGAAAACUUGCUACUGUAGGUCAAAACAACACAAUGCCGAAAGAGACCGUGAACCAUCCCGCUAUAGGAAGAAAAAACUUAUACACGUUUUAAACAAAAGACGACAGAGACACAAAUGUAAAGCCUCACUCAGAAAAACCAUACCGAAAUCUUCUACGAUUUACUUAUUCAUCACAAACUACAAGCAACUUUUUGUUGAUUUUAUCUACAGAAAGGAGUGUUUUUUUAGCAGAUUUUGUGUAAUGAUUAGAAGGAAACAGCAUGCUGCUUCAAAUGGAAAAGCAAAAUAUAUGACAUACACGUAUCUUUAGUAAUACUGAUCAAAUGCUUCCAAAGAAAUAUAAAAGUUUGAGUGGAGGGAUGAUCCUUCAAUCCUUCAAUCCAAGACUUCUCCAUGGCAAAUAUUAACUAGAAAACUGACUCUUGUUGGCCUACAACCAUUGGAUGUUGGUGGUUCAGGUGCCUGCUUCUUUCAAGCUUUUAGUUUUCAAUUGUUUGGCAAACCAGAUUUGCACUAUGACAUUCGUUUGGCAGGAAUUGCACAUUUGAAUGAUCACCCAGAGCUCUAUGUUGAAAGCAUUUUUGACAAUAAUUGGCAAAGUUAUAUCCAAGAAAUGUCUAAACCACACACUUGGUGUGAUAAUAUAAUCAUUCAAACAGUAGCUAAUGCUUUCAAUCUCAUAAUUCAUAUUACCGACUCUAACCCAAAUGCAUCACAAGCAACUAUUACAACACCAGAUGGGUCACCACAAGGAAUGAGGACUAUAUUUUUGGGAUAUAUUAACAAUUUGCAUUAUGUAGCUGCAGUACCAAUUGCAAAUGCAGAACACAGAAAUGCACUUAGAGGCUUAAAAAGAAAGCUAAACUGUUUAUGUGAGGGAAGUGAUAGUAAAGAAAGAAGAUUAGAUAAACAAAGAAAGCAAUAACAUAUAAAUAGAUCAUGUGAAUCUAAGCAAGAUGCACAAAAAAGAAUUGCAAAAAGACAAGAAUUUUAUCAUACUAGAAAGUUAAAUAAAGCAGAAGAAAAAUCUAAAACUGGGCAAUUCCACCAUCACGGACGUUACAUUCAGACACAAUUUUCCAUGUUAAACCUUAUGAAAAAAGUAUUUUAACACAAUUUAUUUGGCUUUACUUUAAUACAUAAAUGGAUCAGCAUUAAUGUAUUACAUGAGUAGUAGACAUUCCCAAAAUUUCCUUUUUGGUGACAGAAAAAUAGACAGGACAAUUAAUGUCACAGACGUUACAUGAAAACAACCAAUAUUCUAUUACAUUCAGAUAAAACCUCGAUUCCUGUGAACUUUCAAUCUUUUUCAUAAAAAAAAAACACAGCAGAAGUGUCUAGCCUGGGUAACAUGCUUGCUAACUAUAAAGUUAUUUUUUUGAUUUUUUUAUUACUAAUUCAGCAGCUUUUGUUAAGUGUUGUCACAGACGUUACAAUGAAUGUCACAGACGUUACAGCAUGUGAUUUUUAACCAAAAUUUGGCGUUCUGUUUACUUUUACUGCUUUAGCUUAAGAAUAUGUGAUACAAUUGGAGCAUUUAGUUAUCAUAAAUGACAGCCAUAUUUGUGUUCAGCAGUUCUGACCUUUUGCUCAUGCACCUGAGCAUGGUACUCAGGGGAAUACUCAAAAUGAAUCCAUUCAAAAAAUCCCUAAGUGGAGCAGAAAGAAACCGAAAGUACAGGAACAAAAUUAGAGCAAAUCCAGCUAAACCUGCAGCGUAUAAAGCUAAAGAUAGGCAAAGGAAAUGCGAGAGUCGAAAAAAGACUUUGAGUCCACUGGAGGCCGGAAGGCAGAGAAUCAAAGGCAGAGAAAGAGUGAGGUUACAUCAAUUAUUGAAAAAGCAAGCUGCCAAAGGAAUUUCUACUCCAGUUCAGCAUAAUUUAAAUGACAUCAAGGCUGCUUACAAGACCCCCAAGCAUUAGGAAAAGUAGUUCACAAGGUGACACCACAUCUCCCACACAGCCCUAGAAAAAGAAGUGCAGUUGUUUGAAAACUUGCAAAAUCUGCUGGUGUGUCAUUGAAAGAGCAGAAAUCAUGCAGUUCAGGCAACAACAAAAUCGAUGAGUUUACAGUUAAAAGCGUAUAGAAGUUCUAUUUUUUGGACUCAAUCUCCCGUCAGGCCCCAGGAUGGCGUGAAUUUGUAAUCGUCAGAAAGGAUGGCAAGAAAUCCAAACUUCAAAAGAGACAUUUGAUAUGGUCUUUAAAAGAAACAUUUGGAUUGUUUCAGACAGAGCAUCCUAGUAUAAAGAUAGGUCUAAGUAAAUUUAGUUCACUGCGGCCAGUUAAUGUUUUGCUGCAGUCCUCAAUGCCAAGAGAAGUCUGUCUUUGCAUGCACCAUGAGAAUGUGAAGUGUCUUUGUGAUUGUCUCAGUAAGGAGCUUUCCAGCUUUGCAGCAUAUUCUGGAUCAUUUGUCGACCAAUUUGUUUGUGACAGUGGCAAAGAGGAUUGCAUGAUUCCAUUCCAUUCAUUUAUUUAUCCAUUCACUUGAUACAUUUUCUAUGUAAUUACAUUGAAUUUAUAUGCAAAUGGAAAGGAUUCUAAAGGAAGCAAAGCUUGUAAUUAUAGGAUCCUUUUAUAGUUUUCAGAGUUUUCAAAGUUGUUUUUUAUUUGGCUCUUAAGAUGUGAUUAACACAGUACACUUUUUUAAAUCAUUACAUGUCAUUGGUGAUCAAGUAUAACUAUGCUGAUUAUAAAUCACAAGCAAUCAUCCAGUUAUUUUAUCAAACAUUAUGAAUCAUGCCCCAGGUCAUCAAUAAGCUGUUUCCGUAUGCUCGUUUUGAAAGAUGGAAUGCUUGGUUUUGAUUUUAUUUCAGAAUUCAAAUUGUUCCACAGCUUUUUCCCUAUAUAAGAAAUGGAUUGCUGUCCAAAUGAAGUUUUUUUGAAUUUAAUGUAAAGAUUAUUUGAAGUUCGGGUACUGUAAGAAUGUGACUGUUUCAUUUUUUAAAAUAGUGACCAAAAUGUUUGGUAAUAUACCGUGAGUUAACCUAUACAUAAAAGUAGCUGUCUCCAAGUAGUGGAUCUCGUCUAUUCUUGAAAUGUUCAGAUUUUUAAAAAUUGGCUUCAUAUGGGCUAGGAAAUGUGAAUAUGAAAUAAUUCUAACUGGGGAAAUGUGUCGACUGUCCCAAGUGGCUGGAUGGCAUUAAAGAAGAUGCCCCUUUAGAUGAUGUUGUAAAGUGGAGUCAAUGGGAAAGGGUUACUAACACUAUAGACACAAAACAGGGCAAGCCUAAAAAUGUAACAAAAAUGCAGAAAACAAUCAAGGAGGGAACUGUAGAAGAGGCCCUAUAUUGUCUGAGUGAGAAAAUCCCUAGCUUUUUAAAGCAUGUGUUCAUCAAGAGGAAGCAAUCAGCCUUUUUUGAAGACUGUAUUGCCAACUUAAAUGAAAAUGAAGCAGUUGUACAUUUAGAUUUCUCAGAAAAUUAAACAUGCCAGCACCAGGAUGAAAUCCAACCAGCGCAUUGAUGCCAAGAACAGGUGACAUUGUUCGCAGUAGCCAUAUGGACAAAAGAUUCAGCCAACACUGACACAACCUGUAACUCCCAUGUUAUAGUCACCGAUGAUCACAACCAUGACAAGCAAUCAAUAACAGUCUUCAUGGACUAUACUAUUAAUACUUUGUUAAAAGAGAUGUUCCCACAGGUUGCAAGUGUUGAUAUCUUUUCAGAUGGUCCCAGCUCCCAAUUUAAAAACAGGUACAUGGCAAACUUUUACCAAACACUGCAACAAAACAGCGUCAAGAUCAAUUGGCAUUUUUUCGCAUCAUCGCAUGGAAAAGGGGUAGUCGAUAGAUUAGGAGGGACUGUCAAAAGGGUCGUGUGGACAGCAGUGUCUAGAUGACACAGAUGAAAGUGCCAAGAGUGGGGAAUGCUGAGGAAUUUGCCAAAGUUGCUAAUGUAAUGUAUACUGCCAUCUCUACUCAUCUUUUUCUCAAGGCAGAUAUAAUCAAAGCUAGCAUCAAACUUGGGCUUGAUAAUUGCUUUCUAGAGGCAAAGCCUAUACCUGGUAUAGCAAAGAUCCAUUGCUUGGAGCCGAGUGAGGGACCUAGUCUGCACUGUCGCCUAUAAUCAAGUCAAUGUUCUGCCCAUAAAGUGAUCCAUUUGCAUGGGAAUCAAGAUAUAUCUUGGGGUGAGAGUUCAGCUGAUGAGAGUGGUGGAAGUGUGGCCACUGAUGAAAGCAGCGAGGAUAGUGAUACAGAGAGUGACAUGGACAGGGUCAUAGAUAGUGACUUGGAGAUAUGUGAAAUGGAUGAGGACGGUGACUCUACUCAUCAUAGCAAUGAUGAUACUCUUUCUCAAGGCAGCGGUGGUGAUAUCCUGAUUCAGCUUGGGUUGCCGAAAGAGAUUAAGAACAAUCUAAAGGAACAUUGUACAGAAUUUGAGUGUAACCCAUGUACUAGUACCCUGGUACAGCUGAUAAUAGGUGAGGGAGUUGCAUUUGAGGGUGACCCAUUAAUCAAUAUGCAGGACCUGAAGGAAGUGGAGGGAAAACUGCCUAAAGAUAAGAUGAAAUGGCACUCAAAUUUUGUGAUUGACUCCUAUCAAAAGUGAAAGCACUAAUGUGGAGGUAUUUGGAUGGGAGGAAUUUGAGAGAGGUGUAGAAAACAAGAAGUUGGAAGAGCUUCUGAAGGGAAAGGGCAAUCUACUUGAGUAAAAUAUGGUGUUGUUUCCUUGCAAUCCAGUAAACAGUGAGCAUUGGUUCCUGGGAGUAGUACUUCCAAAAGAGAAGACCAUCGUUAUCAUUGACAGUUUGCCCCAGAAUUAUAUCAAGCCGACAGCAACUACGCAGGUAGACAAGAUGAUGUUUUUUCUUAAAGAAGUAGACAAGUCAAUCACCAUAGACCAGUGGUCUUUUUAUACCAAUAAGCCUUAUGAGAUUCCCCAACAGGUGAAUUCAUUUGACUUUGGUGUAUUUACUUGUAUAUAUGCAAGAUGUCUUGCAACCAAGUGAAAGAUGGUUACCCAGCAAGACAUCCCUGCAUACCGCAUACUGAUGGUUCAAGAGCUACACCAAAAAAGGCUUUCACCCAUCCCACUAUUGCCCAUUCAACAAGGGGAAUACUAUGCCGUAGAUUAUGUAAAGAACUUUUACAUUGGUCGAGUAUUGGAUGCCACUGCAACACAUGUCAACUUCAAGUUCCUGUACAAAGUCGGAGCAACCACUUUUCACUGGCCAAGAAGGGAAGAUGUGACCAAGGUUCACGUCUCAACCAUAUUUUAUUGUCCGAUGACUGUCCCUAGUUUUAUUAGUGGACCAUUUGCCAUUCCAGAACUUUCUGAUGUUGAGAAACUUUUCAAGCUUGUCAGUAGAUUCAAGAAAGUCUCCAAGUGACAUCAGACAACCUACUGUACUAUGAACACUCUUUAGCCGAUUAUAUCAUCCAUUCAGGAUAGGAAAUUGACUUUUUGGUGAUUGACACAUUUUGUUGUUCAAUAGGCAUUUAUGUAUCAAAACAGCCAAGUUUUUUUUGUUAGCCAAGCCUGUACAUUAACAAUGAUUUUCCUAUUCAAAAUUGAGACUUAAGAAGAAUGUUGAAACUGUAACGUCUGUGACUUGAAACUUUGGCUUCAUGUGGUCUUUGAAGGUUGUACACUGAUGUUUUAUAUCCAUAAUUGCGUAUCCCUAGUACCAAUAACUUACCAGCAGGAAGGAUCUUUUUAUUCUUCUAUUAGUUUUUCAAUUAAAGUAAAAAUAUGAACAAAAUGUCACGGACGUUAUGUAACGUCAAUGACAAAAAUUGGAAUCUCAAUAUUUAUUUAUUGGAAUAAUUUUGAUAAAAUAUUAAUUGAUACCAAAUUGUUUGAAGUAAAGUAUUUAUAGCCAUGUUUUUGUUUUUGGCUGAAAACAUUUUUCAAGCAUGAUUUUAUUGCUUGAAAUGUUCAAUGUGGCAAGUUGUUUUCUUGAUGAAUGAAGUACACCUAUGUACAUGUUUUAAGUGCCCCCCCCCCCCCCUGAGUACAGCGUUGUUCAACAUCAGCAAAAUUUUUUUUUACAAACUCCAAUAUGUAUAUAAUGCACUAGAGGCAAUAAUUCACUCUAAAUCACUGUGAAAAUUAUUUAUUUUAACACUUCUCAUGUGGAAUUGCCCAACUGCAGAUGCACAAAAAGCAUAUUUAAAGAAAUCUGAUCCUUAUAAGAAUGGUUUUCUUCAUGAAAAUAAUUGGGCAAAAUCGAAUAUGUCAAGUUUUACCAAUCUAUUCAAUAUAAAUUAUGUCAUUGUUGUAUUUGCAAAGAAGCAUGGUCACUGAAUGUUAAUGCUAGGUUGAGUAACCCUUAUGUUUGUGCACGAUGCUCCAAGGAUAAGCUAUGUCCAAAACAGUUUUCAGAACAAAAUUUUAUUAUUCCUAGUCAAAUACCAAAUGAAUUACAGGACUUAACUCAAAUACAAAAAAUGCUUAUUGCCCGUGCUCUCCCAAUCAUGAGAGUUUAUAUAAAACCAGGUGGGCAGAGAGGAUAUUCAGGGCAUUGUAUAAAUUUACCCCAAAAUGUAAAAGAGCUUGCGUCAACAUUGCCUAGAUUCCCUAAUGAAUUAUCUGUUGUAAUUCCGAAAGUUAAAGGUAAAGACAGUACAUUUAAAGAUGUGUAUGUUAGACGGCAGAAAGUAGCUAAAGCUCUAGAGUGGCUAAUGAUGCAACACAAUCCUCUUUAUAAGGACAUUCAAAUUAAUGAGACUGCUCUGUAUUCGUUGCCCCAUAAUGGUAUUCCCCCAGGAUUGGCAACAAAGUUAAACAUCUAUAUCCAUCGUUUCACUUUCAAUACAUUAAAAUACUUACUUGGAUAUGAGGCCAGUCACGUGAUGCAGUAUCUUUUUAUUUAUUCCAAUAAGCCUCAUAUCCAAAUAAAAUUUUACAAUUUGAUAUUGAAAGUGGCUUACUAUUAGAACCUGGAGUUUUAACCAUUUCAAGAAUGAGUUGUGUACAAUAAAUUCAUCAGCACUGUAGUUUAUAUUACCCACUGGUACCCGUACUUUAAAAUGAUAUACAAAUUCUCUCACUUACCCUUUUAAUGUGGUCUGAGCAGGUUAACCAGUGCCAUUUCUGACCAUUUAUGAACACCAACUACUUUUCAAAAAAGACAUUUUAUUGACACUAGAUCUUCUUUAAGGAACAAAUCAAGUUAGCCUAUCUCUAAUCCUCAGUUUAGCUUAAAACUUGUUAUGUAUGUCAAAAGCUUGUAUAAUGUUGCCAUUGAAUAAACUAUUCGUUGAAUUUCAAUCUUUUUUAGAAAUUUUCCUUACACCCCCUUUCAAUGCUGUCAUAAAUCUCAGAACAAUAAAACAACUCUUUUUCUUACAUAAUUCAACUGUUUCAUUUGAUGAUGAUAAUAUCGUUGCACUUCCCAUAAGCCAGGCAGCACUUCACUUUCUCAUAGAAAUUCCUAGUUUUUGUACUAUAAUUGCUUUGUAAAUAAUAUUCUCUUGCUAUACUUAGUUUAGAUAGCUAACUAUUUGUUAUACCUUGUAUUCAUAUUAACUGUAGUUUUGUAUUAUUGCUCGGAGUGAGCGUAGCGAACGGAAAGCAACACUAAUCUAGGUGGGCUAGGAUUUUUGCGGUUUGAUUUUGGGGUUUGGAUCGCGGUCAGGAGAAGCAGCGGUAGAGUGGUAUCGCGCAUGCGUGAGAUUUUUAAAUUGGAGUCACUUUGAGGUUUGAUUCGGGCUUGAUGGGACAUUUCCGGUUAUUACGAUCAUUAUAACUGUCACGUUCGGGAAAUUUCCGGUUAUUACGAACGGUGUUCGAUUGACAAAAUAGAGCCGAAGUUUAGCGUCCUUUUAGUCGGCGUGGUCGAUCUGACGAAUCCUUUCCCGGCGUUGCCGUGUUGCUAUUCACUGCUGUGUUCUCUCUUAGUUAUUGGGUAAGUAAAGACAUGCAUUUUCUUGAUUACAAUUGUAAAUUGAGAUUUAGCUUUCACAUCGUGUUGUUAGAAUUGUUUACAUCGAUUUUUUGCCUCCAAUAGGGAUUUUUUGCCGUGGUAAGUUGAGAAUUUGGUUGUCGAGCGGUGUCACAAUUUCAGUUUCCAUGCGCUUAGUGUUUAGUUGUCAGAAAGAACCAAAUACAAUUCAAUGGAUAGUGAUAUAGUUUAGGUUUGUAUAUAAUAACCGUUAAACUACAGAAUAAUCCCAAGUUCAGGUCUCAACGAUCUAUAGGUGAGCCGAUGGAAACUGAUUGAAACAUUGCGAUCACCGAUCAUUGGAAAUGGUCGAAAGCAAUGUAUUAGGUAAAUCGUGCUUGAAAUUCUACAGACUUGAAAAUAAAACUUUGCUUCAUUGUUUAUUAGAGUAAAAUAAGUAAGAGAUGUUAUAAACAAUUGAUUUAGUACAAUAUUUCGAAUUUAUUAACCCUUUCCUGCCUAGAUAGGGAAUUUUCCGUAUUUUGCUGCAUGAAAUUCUGCACGUUUCUCUCUUACAGCUCAAGUCAGCACAACGAAUCGUUCGUCAUAAAAUUUUUAUCCAAAGUUAAAACUUUUUCGCGGGUUCGAAAUCCAUCCACGACCACGGACCUUGCCUUUAGAUCAUGGACUUGACUCAUGAUAUUUUGGUUGAUUUUGAUAGCGAUUUAAAAGAGUUUUACGGCCUGGGAGAGAGAGAUUCACAAUCGGUAAACAACGAUGGCCGUGGGCUAAUUUCUAGCAGAAAAAUGUCGGUAUUUUGCGACCCAAAGACCAACUUUGGUACAGAACUGGUACUGCCAUUGAGGAACAAGAAGCUACUCCAUUUAUCGGACCGAAGAAUCAUCCAAAUAAUGACUUUGAACUUUGUUUUUUUUAUAUUUUCAUCAUUCUGAAUUGAUUUAAUUUCUUGUCAAUCGAACAAACUUGUUUGAGGCGCUUCUAAAUGGCAAAAAGAAAACGAAGAGAAAGAUUCUGAGUGGUUUGAGAGCAACAGCGAACGAUGCAGGAACUAGCGGUGAAUAAAUUCAGGCACCAUCUCGGUAUUUUUGUAAGUACUCAUGGCAUCGGACUAUUGCCAACAAUUCGCAAAUAUUUGAGUGAAAAAGACUUGUUUCUCGUCCAGUUGGAUAUUGCAAAACCAAUAGCAGCAAAUAAUACUUUCUUGCAAGCCUAUUUUGGCCGCAUCUGAACAACAAUGCAGAAAAUUCUUCCCAAUACCAUCUUGAAUUUGUUCAAUAUCACCACUCGUUCCGCUCGAUGAUGUUCUCAAAUCCUCGUGUUGUUGUGCUAUACUUGAUUUAUUCACAGAUUAUGGCCAAUUGUCAAUCAAUUAGACAGUCAUGAGCAAAAAUGGACAGUUGAGUUUUGUUCAAUCCAUGAAAUAAAGCCGCUAAAAUUUAGAAAUGAAAUGACGAUGCAAGCCGUGCUUUUAUUGCCGCCAUGUUGAUGCUGUAUUGUGUAGAAACUUUCUCAUAGAAAUUCCUAGUUUUUGUACUAUAAUUGCUUUGUAAAUAAUAUUCUCUUGCUAUACUUAGUUUAGAUAGCUAACUAUUUGUUAUACCUUGUAUUCAUAUUAACUGUAGUUUUGUAUUAUUGCUCGGAGUGAGCGUAGCGAACGGAGAGCAACACUAAUCUAGGUGGGCUAGGAUUUUUGCGGUUUGAUUUUGGGGUUUGGAUCGCGGUCAGGAGAAGCAGCGGUAGAGUGGUAUCGCGCAUGCGUGAGAUUUUUAUAUUGGAGUGACUUUGAGGUUUGAUUCGGGCUUGAUGGGACAUUUCCGGUUAUUACGAUCAUUAUAACUGUCACGUUCGGGAAAUUUCCGGUUAUUACGAACGGUGUUCGAGUAACAAAAUAGAGCCGAAGUUUAGCGUCCUUUUAGUCGGCGUGGUCGAUCUGACGAAUCCUUUCCCGGCGUUGCCGUGUUGCUAUUCACUGCUGUGUUCUCUCUUAGUUAUUGGGUAAGUAAAGACAUGCAUUUUCUUGAUUACAAUUGUAAAUUGAGAUUUAGCUUUCACAUCGUGUUGUUAGAAUUGUUUACAUCGAUUUUUUGCCUCCAAUAGGGAUUUUUUGCCGUGGUAAGUUGAGAAUUUGGUUGUCGAGCGGUGUCACAAUUUCAGUUUCCAUGCGCUUAGUGUUUAGUUGUCAGAAAGAACCAAAUACAAUUCAAUGGAUAGUGAUAUAGUUUAGGUUUGUAUAUAAUAACCGUUAAACUACAGAAUAAUCCCAAGUUCAGGUCUCAACGAUCUAUAGGUGAGCCGAUGGAAACUGAUUGAAACAUUGCGAUCACCGAUCAUUGGAAAUGGUCGAAAGCAAUGUAUUAGGUAAAUCGUGCUUGAAAUUCUACAGACUUGAAAAUAAAACUUUGCUUCAUUGUUUAUUAGAGUAAAAUAAGUAAGAGAUGUUAUAAACAAUUGAUUUAGUACAAUAUUUCGAAUUUAUUAACCCUUUCCUGCCUAGAUAGGGAAUUUUCCGUAUUUUGCUGCAUGAAAUUCUGCACGUUUCUCUCUUACAGCUCAAGUCAGCACAACGAAUCGUUCGUCAUAAAAUUUUUAUCCAAAGUUAAAACUUUUUCGCGGGUUCGAAAUCCAUCCACGACCACGGACCUUGCCUUUAGAUCAUGGACUUGACUCAUGAUAUUUUGGUUGAUUUUGAUAGCGAUAUAAAAGAGUUUUACGGCCUGGGAGAGAGAGAUUCACAAUCGGUAAACAACGAUGGCCGUGGGCUAAUUUCUAGCAGAAAAAUGUCGGUAUUUUGCGACCCAAAGACCAACUUUGGUACAGAACUGGUACUGCCAUUGAGGAACAAGAAGCUACUCCAUUUAUCGGACCGAAGAAUCAUCCAAAUAAUGACUUUGAACUUUGUUUUUUUUUAUAUUUUCAUCAUUCUGAAUUGAUUUAAUUUCUUGUCAAUCGAACAAACUUGUUUGAGGCGCUUCUAAAUGGCAAAAAGAAAACGAAGAGAAAGAUUCUGAGUGGUUUGAGAGCAACAGCGAACGAUGCAGAAACUAGCGGUGAAUAAAUUCAGCCACCAUCUCGGUAUUUUUGUAAGUACUCAUGGCAUCGGACUAUUGCCAACAAUUCGCAAAUAUUUGAGUGAAAAAGACUUGUUUCUCGUCCAGUUGGAUAUUGCAAAACCAAUAGCAGCAAAUAAUACUUUCUUGCAAGCCUAUUUUGGCCGCAUCUGAACAACAAUGCAGAAAAUUCUUCCCAAUAUCAUCUUGAAUUUGUUCAAUAGUCACCACUCGUUCCGCUCGAUGAUGUUCUCAAAUCCUCGUGUUGUUGUGCUAUACUUGAUUUAUUCACAGAUUAUGGCCAAUUGUCAAUCAAUUAGACAGUCAUGAGCAAAAAUGGACAGUUGAGUUUUGUUCAAUCCAUGAAAUAAAGCCGCUAAAAUUUAGAAAUGAAAUGACGAUGCAAGCCGUGCUUUUAUUGCCGCCAUGUUGAUGCUGUAUUGUGUAGAAACUUUCUCAUAGAAAUUCCUAGUUUUUGUACUAUAAUUGCUUUGUAAAUAAUAUUCUCUUGCUAUACUUAGUUUAGAUAGCUAACUAUUUGUUAUACCUUGUAUUCAUAUUAACUGUAGUUUUGUAUUAUUGCUCGGAGUGAGCGUAGCGAACGGAAAGCAACACUAAUCUAGGUGGGCUAGGAUUUUUGCGGUUUGAUUUUGGGGUUUGGAUCGCGGUCAGGAGAAGCAGCGGUAGAGUGGUAUCGCGCAUGCGUGAGAUUUUUAAAUUGGAGUCACUUUGAGGUUUGAUUCGGGCUUGAUGGGACAUUUCCGGUUAUUACGAUCAUUAUAACUGUCACGUUCGGGAAAUUUCCGGUUAUUACGAACGGUGUUCGAUUGACAAAAUAGAGCCGAAGUUUAGCGUCCUUUUAGUCGGCGUGGUCGAUCUGACGAAUCCUUUCCCGGCGUUGCCGUGUUGCUAUUCACUGCUGUGUUCUCUCUUAGUUAUUGGGUAAGUAAAGACAUGCAUUUUCUUGAUUACAAUUGUAAAUUGAGAUUUAGCUUUCACAUCGUGUUGUUAGAAUUGUUUACAUCGAUUUUUUGCCUCCAAUAGGGAUUUUUUGCCGUGGUAAGUUGAGAAUUUGGUUGUCGAGCGGUGUCACAAUUUCAGUUUCCAUGCGCUUAGUGUUUAGUUGUCAGAAAGAACCAAAUACAAUUCAAUGGAUAGUGAUAUAGUUUAGGUUUGUAUAUAAUAACCGUUAAACUACAGAAUAAUCCCAAGUUCAGGUCUCAACGAUCUAUAGGUGAGCCGAUGGAAACUGAUUGAAACAUUGCGAUCACCGAUCAUUGGAAAUGGUCGAAAGCAAUGUAUUAGGUAAAUCGUGCUUGAAAUUCUACAGACUUGAAAAUAAAACUUUGCUUCAUUGUUUAUUAGAGUAAAAUAAGUAAGAGAUGUUAUAAACAAUUGAUUUAGUACAAUAUUUCGAAUUUAUUAACCCUUUCCUGCCUAGAUAGGGAAUUUUCCGUAUUUUGCUGCAUGAAAUUCUGCACGUUUCUCUCUUACAGCUCAAGUCAGCACAACGAAUCGUUCGUCAUAAAAUUUUUAUCCAAAGUUAAAACUUUUUCGCGGGUUCGAAAUCCAUCCACGACCACGGACCUUGCCUUUAGAUCAUGGACUUGACUCAUGAUAUUUUGGUUGAUUUUGAUAGCGAUUUAAAAGAGUUUUACGGCCUGGGAGAGAGAGAUUCACAAUCGGUAAACAACGAUGGCCGUGGGCUAAUUUCUAGCAGAAAAAUGUCGGUAUUUUGCGACCCAAAGACCAACUUUGGUACAGAACUGGUACUGCCAUUGAGGAACAAGAAGCUACUCCAUUUAUCGGACCGAAGAAUCAUCCAAAUAAUGACUUUGAACUUUGUUUUUUUUAUAUUUUCAUCAUUCUGAAUUGAUUUAAUUUCUUGUCAAUCGAACAAACUUGUUUGAGGCGCUUCUAAAUGGCAAAAAGAAAACGAAGAGAAAGAUUCUGAGUGGUUUGAGAGCAACAGCGAACGAUGCAGGAACUAGCGGUGAAUAAAUUCAGCCACCAUCUCGGUAUUUUUGUAAGUACUCAUGGCAUCGGACUAUUGCCAACAAUUCGCAAAUAUUUGAGUGAAAAAGACUUGUUUCUCGUCCAGUUGGAUAUUGCAAAACCAAUAGCAGCAAAUAAUACUUUCUUGCAAGCCUAUUUUGGCCGCAUCUGAACAACAAUGCAGAAAAUUCUUCCCAAUAUCAUCUUGAAUUUGUUCAAUAGUCACCACUCGUUCCGCUCGAUGAUGUUCUCAAAUCCUCGUGUUGUUGUGCUAUACUUGAUUUAUUCACAGAUUAUGGCCAAUUGUCAAUCAAUUAGACAGUCAUGAGCAAAAAUGGACAGUUGAGUUUUGUUCAAUCCAUGAAAUAAAGCCGCUAAAAUUUAGAAAUGAAAUGACGAUGCAAGCCGUGCUUUUAUUGCCGCCAUGUUGAUGCUGUAUUGUGUAGAAACUUUCUCAUAGAAAUUCCUAGUUUUUGUACUAUAAUUGCUUUGUAAAUAAUAUUCUCUUGCUAUACUUAGUUUAGAUAGCUAACUAUUUGUUAUACCUUGUAUUCAUAUUAACUGUAGUUUUGUAUUAUUGCUCGGAGUGAGCGUAGCGAACGGAGAGCAACACUAAUCUAGGUGGGCUAGGAUUUUUGCGGUUUGAUUUUGGGGUUUGGAUCGCGGUCAGGAGAAGCAGCGGUAGAGUGGUAUCGCGCAUGCGUGAGAUUUUUAUAUUGGAGUGACUUUGAGGUUUGAUUCGGGCUUGAUGGGACAUUUCCGGUUAUUACGAUCAUUAUAACUGUCACGUUCGGGAAAUUUCCGGUUAUUACGAACGGUGUUCGAGUAACAAAAUAGAGCCGAAGUUUAGCGUCCUUUUAGUCGGCGUGGUCGAUCUGACGAAUCCUUUCCCGGCGUUGCCGUGUUGCUAUUCACUGCUGUGUUCUCUCUUAGUUAUUGGGUAAGUAAAGACAUGCAUUUUCUUGAUUACAAUUGUAAAUUGAGAUUUAGCUUUCACAUCGUGUUGUUAGAAUUGUUUACAUCGAUUUUUUGCCUCCAAUAGGGAUUUUUUGCCGUGGUAAGUUGAGAAUUUGGUUGUCGAGCGGUGUCACAAUUUCAGUUUCCAUGCGCUUAGUGUUUAGUUGUCAGAAAGAACCAAAUACAAUUCAAUGGAUAGUGAUAUAGUUUAGGUUUGUAUAUAAUAACCGUUAAACUACAGAAUAAUCCCAAGUUCAGGUCUCAACGAUCUAUAGGUGAGCCGGUGGAAACUGAUUGAAACAUUGCGAUCACCGAUCAUUGGAAAUGGUCGAAAGCAAUGUAUUAGGUAAAUCGUGCUUGAAAUUCUACAGACUUGAAAAUAAAACUUUGCUUCAUUGUUUAUUAGAGUAAAAUAAGUAAGAGAUGUUAUAAACAAUUGAUUUAGUACAAUAUUUCGAAUUUAUUAACCCUUUCCUGCCUAGAUAGGGAAUUUUCCGUAUUUUGCUGCAUGAAAUUCUGCACGUUUCUCUCUUACAGCUCAAGUCAGCACAACGAAUCGUUCGUCAUAAAAUUUUUAUCCAAAGUUAAAACUUUUUCGCGGGUUCGAAAUCCAUCCACGACCACGGACCUUGCCUUUAGAUCAUGGACUUGACUCAUGAUAUUUUGGUUGAUUUUGAUAGCGAUAUAAAAGAGUUUUACGGCCUGGGAGAGAGAGAUUCACAAUCGGUAAACAACGAUGGCCGUGGGCUAAUUUCUAGCAGAAAAAUGUCGGUAUUUUGCGACCCAAAGACCAACUUUGGUACAGAACUGGUACUGCCAUUGAGGAACAAGAAGCUACUCCAUUUAUCGGACCGAAGAAUCAUCCAAAUAAUGACUUUGAACUUUGUUUUUUUUUAUAUUUUCAUCAUUCUGAAUUGAUUUAAUUUCUUGUCAAUCGAACAAACUUGUUUGAGGCGCUUCUAAAUGGCAAAAAGAAAACGAAGAGAAAGAUUCUGAGUGGUUUGAGAGCAACAGCGAACGAUGCAGAAACUAGCGGUGAAUAAAUUCAGCCACCAUCUCGGUAUUUUUGUAAGUACUCAUGGCAUCGGACUAUUGCCAACAAUUCGCAAAUAUUUGAGUGAAAAAGACUUGUUUCUCGUCCAGUUGGAUAUUGCAAAACCAAUAGCAGCAAAUAAUACUUUCUUGCAAGCCUAUUUUGGCCGCAUCUGAACAACAAUGCAGAAAAUUCUUCCCAAUAUCAUCUUGAAUUUGUUCAAUAGUCACCACUCGUUCCGCUCGAUGAUGUUCUCAAAUCCUCGUGUUGUUGUGCUAUACUUGAUUUAUUCACAGAUUAUGGCCAAUUGUCAAUCAAUUAGACAGUCAUGAGCAAAAAUGGACAGUUGAGUUUUGUUCAAUCCAUGAAAUAAAGCCGCUAAAAUUUAGAAAUGAAAUGACGAUGCAAGCCGUGCUUUUAUUGCCGCCAUGUUGAUGCUGUAUUGUGUAGAAACUUUCUCAUAGAAAUUCCUAGUUUUUGUACUAUAAUUGCUUUGUAAAUAAUAUUCUCUUGCUAUACUUAGUUUAGAUAGCUAACUAUUUGUUAUACCUUGUAUUCAUAUUAACUGUAGUUUUGUAUUAUUGCUCGGAGUGAGCGUAGCGAACGGAAAGCAACACUAAUCUAGGUGGGCUAGGAUUUUUGCGGUUUGAUUUUGGGGUUUGGAUCGCGGUCAGGAGAAGCAGCGGUAGAGUGGUAUCGCGCAUGCGUGAGAUUUUUAAAUUGGAGUCACUUUGAGGUUUGAUUCGGGCUUGAUGGGACAUUUCCGGUUAUUACGAUCAUUAUAACUGUCACGUUCGGGAAAUUUCCGGUUAUUACGAACGGUGUUCGAUUGACAAAAUAGAGCCGAAGUUUAGCGUCCUUUUAGUCGGCGUGGUCGAUCUGACGAAUCCUUUCCCGGCGUUGCCGUGUUGCUAUUCACUGCUGUGUUCUCUCUUAGUUAUUGGAUCAUAACGAAUCAAGUCCCCCAUCCUACCAGAUUUCCCUGCUUUUUCACCAGUACGUCGGGAGACAUGGCCAGUGCGUCGGGAGACAUGGCCAGUGCGUCGGGAGACAUGGCCAGUGCGUUGGGAGACAUGGCCAGUGCGUCGGGAGACAUGGCCAGUGCGUCGGGAGACAUGGCCAGUGCGUCGGGAGCCGGUGAGGCUAUCUUCCAGAGUUUCCAAGUCCUCGCAAGUUCAUUGAGGAAAAACUACCAACAGGGUAUCAGAUUUUGACAGGGGUCCAUGAGAAGUCCAUAUUUACAACCAUUCUCUAUAAAAAUGAACUUGAAGUCAAGGAAUACAACAACUAU